rnacentral:rRNA from 1 species
UACGUAGGGGGCAAGCGUUGUCCGGAAUUAUUGGGCGUAAAGGGCUCGUAGGUGGCCAACUAAGUCAGACGUGAAAUCCCCAGGCUUAACCUGGGAACUGCGUCUGAUACUGGAUGGCUUGAAUUCGGGAGAGGGAUGCAGAAUUCCAGGUGUAGCGGUGAAAUGCGUAGAUAUCUGGAGGAAUACCGGUGGCGAAGGCGGCAUCCUGGACCGAGAUUGACACUGAUGAGCGAAAGCCAGGGGAGCAAACGGG